UUAGUUCCACACACGUAAUAUUAAAUCCAUACAAGUAUGCAGUAUUGACAUGAUUGAGCAAAAUUAUUUUUAUCAACAAAGCAGUGUAUAAUUUAUUAAUGAGACCAAAAUUAUUCUUAAUUGAUUGAACCCUGUAUUAAUAACCAAACAUCUGUCUCUCUUGAACAAUAUAUAUCUUCAGUCUUUAAGACUGGUGUUACUGUAUAUAGUUCUGGAAUAUGAUAUAAUUUUAGUGUACAGAAGAUGAAAUUAUAGAAAACAUUGAUUCUGCAGAAGAGACAAUGUCAUAGAGAAGUUACUAAAGGUGAAACAUUACAAUGAAGACAAGAGAAACAAGAUCUGAUUUAUGGACAUAAUGUUGUGGAAUUCCAUGUACAUUUGUUGUGGUUUUGUCAAAGAAAUUAUAGACUGAAAGUUGAAAAUAUAAAGAUAACAUAAAUAAAUUUAAUAAACAGGCUGAAAUAUGUGUUCAGUAUACUGAUUGACUAACUUACACUAAGACUACAUACAUUUUGUAUUUUAAUGACUAAUAAAACAAAAAUCUGCAGUUGAGUUAAAAAAUCUAAAUCUGUAACACUAUGAAUCACAAACAAUUGUAACAUUAUUUAUUUGAAAGAAUUUUUAUUUUUUACAAAAUAUAAACCUUGAGCCUAGAAAAACACAUAGUUUCACCUGCGAUGAAUUUUUUAUACUUAUGUGUAUUUUUAUUUGUGCUAAUUUUUUAUAUGCGAAUUGAGACAGUUAAUUUUUUUCAAAAUUCAAAACUUGUUAAAUUUUCAGGCAGAACUUAUAAUUUCUUUUAAUAAUUAACUUAGAGGCUGCAUAAUGUAAUUUUUUAGAUUCUCAAUCUCCCUUCAAAAAUAUAUGGGGACUUUUUGGCAAAGAAUUUUGUUUUUUUUUUAUUUUUGCUUUUCCCAAAAGAUUGCUAGGAAUUUAAAAGAAAUAAAAAUUGAAAAACCAAUCUGAAAUCUAGAAUACAUGAAAAAGGACAAUAUUACAUUGUAUAAAAAUAUUUUUAUAUGACCCAUUACAAACUGUUUUCUAUAUCUAUAUUAAUAUACUAAAUAUUUAUUUUUGCCUGUCUUAUUUCUAGCAUUAUUAUUUCUUGUAAAUGUUUAUAGGAAUAUGCUGUAUGAAUUUACGAUACAAAUCCCUACACAUACUUAACAAAGCAGUGACUUGCCCAACCUAUUUUUUUUUUAAUUAUUGUUGCUUUCUAAUCAUGAGAAAAUUCCGCCUUCAUGUUAUUUAAGUAAAAAUACAAGGUCCCGCGCCAUUAUCACUCUCUUUCAGAUUCAAUUAAACUUUCAUUAUUUCAAUUUUUGAUUAUUCAGCUAAGUACUUUUCUAAAAGGGGUUAGUUUGCAAAUAAUAAUUAAAGCAUGGGUAAAUUAUCUUUUGAAAUGCAUAUUAAACUACUAUCACCAACCAUAAUUCAAUUUAGAAUAUAAAUUUUCUGUGUGCAUAUUUCUGAAUUUAGAGAACUUUUCUUUUAGUCAAUGAAUGUAAUAAUGUAAAUAGUAUUGAUUAUGUUUAUAUAGAUUAUUUGAUACAGCAAAAUUUGUUAUGUAAGAUUUUGUUUUAUAUAUGUGUAACUUUAAAAAGUAAUAAAAGCAUACAUCGAUGAA